AACUGCAAGCAGAUUUUCUCUUCAACCAGACCAUGUGUUGACUCAGCCCUGGCCCAGGGAAACCACCACUGACUUCAUGACAAGUAACAAUGGUGUGGACAUGGCGAAGCUUUGACCCACUGACAGGAGACAUUUACCCUUGAAUUUAUGAAAUAACUGGAUAGUGGAUAGCAACACAAAUGUUUUAUUUAAAUCAGAGCUAGAGUACAAGUUCUUCAGUUGCUGUAAACUGGUAAAGGAGUACUGAUUUCAGUGGAGUUCAUCCAAUAUGCACACACCAAGGAGCAAACCCUCUAAUCCCAGACUAAUUUUUGCCAGUUUAUCUCUAUGUAGAUAGACUCCCAAACCUUUUAUCGUCAUGCCACUGAAAUUAUUAAUAUACCAUAAUCCUUGCCUGUGAAGAAGUAGUGUACUUUGCAAAGCUAUGCAGUGUAUAGCACGUCAUAAAACUGCUUUAGACCACACAGUCUGGAGAUUUGUUUUCAGAAACGAGACGAGCAGAGCAUCUUCUGAUCUGAUGUCGAUUACACCUCACUCUGCACUUCCACAGCUGAGCUUUUCAUACAGAGUGAUGGCUGCAUGUUUCUGAUGACUGUGGGCCAAAGCUUCAGCUGAUGUGCCUCUAAGUAGCUCUCUCUAUAAAGGCACACUGAGGCUGAGCAUAUAUUGAACUAUUCCAAUUCAGCACUAGAUAAUCCCUGCUAAAAAAAAUUGGAGGGUAAUUUCUGCUUGCCAUCUAGGCUUGCAUAUAUUUGGGGUUUAACUAAAGGCAUAUUGCAAUUUCAUUACCUACCAGUUUAAAUAUUUACUGGCAUCAGCAUUACCUUGCAUAGAAAAAUGGCAAAUAAAUUCAGACAUGUCAUAAAUGCUCUCAGUCUAGAGAUGGAAUCUGUUACUUAAGCUCAAAGACAUUGCAGCAGGCUAAAGUGUUUUUCCUAAUCCAAUUGGGUUCUGUACAUUUAGAAGUCAUGGCAAAUAUUUAUCUAGGCCCAAUUCUGCUGUUCUUCCCCUGAGCAUCCUGGUUGGCAGGUUGCUCCACUGAAGUCCACAGCAGUAACUGUGUGAAUUGGUGCUCAGCACACAGAUUGCAGAAGCAGGCACUGAAUAUGUUAGGUUGCUGCAAUCAGGAGUUUAAUUUUAGCCAUAUGUAUCAUUUGAGGACACUUAAAAAUUAUGUACAUUUUGUUCAAGCUGACAGUCCUUGUAUUUCCAUAAAAUAUUGUAUAACUUAUUCCUGUCUGUAUUUUUGACAUCUCUGGAUUGCAUAUCUUCUACUGAAUCUUAAAUGCUGUUUUUUUUAAACCCACAUUCAAAAGGUCUAGGACAUACCAUCACAGAAUAUAAAAACAAGUCAAAGAUCUGGUGAUGUUUUGCUUUGGUUUUGAGUUCUCCUUCAGUUUGUGUUUUGGCUUGGCUGUGGCACUCCCAGAAUUUUUGGAAUGGCUCAACUCAAUUCAAGGUUCUUCCUGUCUUUUAGGAAAAAAAAAAAGCAAAAUACAACUAAGGUUCAGGAAAAGCAAUCCUGGCAAACUUGGUGGCUGUUUGCUCUUUCUAGCUGUCCUGAUUUUUUAGCCCUGCCAUGUUGGGAGUAGUCUAGUCUGUGGGUUCUCUCACCCACCAUUUCUGGCUGUUGUGACAAAUACUAUUUUUUGGUUUUUUUUUCUUUUGUGUGUGUGUGUGCGUGCGCAUGUAUAAUUAACCAAAAUAUCAGGAAAAUUUAUAUAGGCUUUCUUCUGGUUCCUGGAAAUAGAGCAACAUUAUGACCUUAUGGUCUUCCAGCAAAAGUCAAAUUUAAUUUCUGCAUUGCAGUGCAACUUAAUUAGCUAUUGGAAUUUGAUUAUGGUUUACUAAAUGGCCUUUUACCUUACGUUCUUAUGUUCUUACUUUUUAUUUACUAUUGAAGUAGCCUCUUCUUUUUCUCAUGUGUGCAAGUAUCAUAUCAAUAAUCAUUGCAAUUCCACAAGGUGUCUUUGUUCUGAACAAGCAUGUUAUUCUUGUAAAGUUUUAAGUAUAAGUUAAGAUGUUUUGUACAGACCAAGGUAACUGUUAAACUGUCAAGCAAUUACUGAAAUGUUGUAUAGUUAUAAAAGUUUGAUUUCUUUUGCUUUAUAUGUAUAAAAUUGUAUCUUGCCUGUUUUGCUUUGUAUUUCCAACGUGUUGCACAAUUAUGCAUUUUGUUUACAUUUGUUCCUUCUUCAGAAAAAAAAAAAA
ensembl:lncRNA